GACUCUUAAUAAAUAAAGUACAUAAAAAGUAGGCUAUGUGCUAAGUCAGGGUAUAAGCAAUCCCUAUUCCAGCCAAAUCAGAUCAGUCACUGUAACGUGAAGGA